GAUGAACGCUAGCGGCAGGCCUAACACAUGCAAGUCGAGGGGGAAGUUACUUUCGGGUGACUGAGACCGGCGUACGGGUGCGUAACGCGUAUACAAUCUGCCUUUCACUGGGGGAUAGCCCGAAGAAAUUUGGAUUAAUACCCCAUAGUAUAUAGGGACGGCAUCGUUUUUAUAUUAAAGCUUAGGUGGUGAAAGAUGAGUAUGCGUUCUAUUAGCUAGUUGGAGGGGUAACGGCUCCCCAAGGCGAUGAUAGAUAGGGGUUCUGAGAGGGAUGUCCCCCACACUGGUACUGAGAUACGGACCAGACUCCUACGGGAGGCAGCAGUGAGGAAUAGUGGACAAUGGUCGGAAGACUGAUCCAGCCAUGCCGCGUGCAGGAUGAAGGUCUUAUGGAUUGUAAACUGCUUUUGUAAGGGAAGAAUAAGGGCUACGCGUAGUUUGAUGACGGUACCUUACGAAUAAGCAUCGGCUAACUCCGUG
rnacentral:rRNA from 1 species